rnacentral:rRNA from 1 species
AUGGUGCAUCUCAACAGACUUCACCUCAGUGGUCAGGCCAGUAGGACCAAAGGUGACAACCAUGCCUGGCUUGAUGACUCCAGUCUCAACACGCCCCACUGGCACAGUUCCAAUGCCACCAAUCUUGUACACGUCCUGAAGGGGAAGACGCAGGGGCUUGUCGGAGGGCCUCUUGGGCUCAUUGAUCUGGUCCAGGGCCUCAAGAAGGGUGGGGCCCUUGUACCAGUCAAGGUUGGUGGACCUCUCAAUCAUGUUGUCGCCCUCGAACCCAGAGAUGGGAACGAAGGGAACCUUGUCAGGGUUGUAACCGACCUUCUUCAGGUAUGA